AGUGAACCUUUCCUGAUCCCAUUCCAUCUUGCACUUCCUGUCGUUACGCUUUCUUUUCUAAAUAGUCAAAAACAAAUCUUUAAAAAAUAAAUAAAUAGUUUUUUAAAGAACUUAAAUAUGGCGCUACUUUCCUUGACUGGGGUGAAUUAACUGCUAGUUUGUAUCUCACAAUUCUGAUUUUUCUCGUAAUUGCGAGAAAAUUUAUACGUCGUAAUUCUCUUAACUGCGAGGAAAAUAAAUGUGGGGUGUAAACUCAGAAACACUAGGGGAAAAGUCAGAAAGCCAUGUACUCGUCUUUGUUUAAAUUCCACGCUGACGCAGAGACGUUCAAUAAAGCCCUGUCAAGAGUUUUCCUCAACAACCUCUCAUUCUCAAAAGGGGAAAAGCGGGAGGAACAGUAAAAUUCCUGCUCCUCCUCUGUACAGUACCACAACGCUGCCUGAGUGACUCAGUUCACACAAAGGUGGGCGUUCAUCAGCUCCACUUUCAAAAUCACUGCAAUGAGCAACACUGAAUGCAGUUUCUUACGUCGCCGAGCACCUUUAAGGGAUGACGUGCGGACAGUGACCUUUGCGCGACGGGACGAGAAGACCGCGGAUGCCAGACGCGGCGCGUCACCUGCGUGUCCGAUGCGUAAAAGCGCGCAAUGACAACAAAACGCGCACACUGUUCCGCCGGGCUUCAUCUGAAUCUGGAAAUUAGGAUUAGGAGGUUAUUGGGUGAAGCGAAUCGCCCUCCUUUGUUCCCGCAGAUGAGGGUCUGACGCGUUCCCGGGGGAUUUUCAGUCGCGGUUCAAACGCUGGACACACACAUACACACGCGCACACACACGCACACGCUCUCUCUAUGCUGCUAUGACUUCCUGCAUGCGUCUGUACUGUGAUCUGAUUGCUCUUCGUAUGCUGCUGCUCAUCUCGGUGCUGCUCGUGUUUGUGAGGUCCGAUUCGGCGGAUAGCCGAUGCUUGUCAUCCCUCAUCUCCACAUGUGAAGACUGUCUGAGACGUGGCCCUGAAUGCGCGUGGUGCUCUCAGGAGGUAAUGUGUGUGUGUGUGUGUGUGUGUGUGUGUGUGUGUGUGUGUGUGUGUGUGUGAGCUGCUAUUGUUGUAUCUCGGCACACUGCUCGAGGUCUGAGUGUGUGAAGUGCUCAUGUUUGGUCUGUUAGUGAUAAAGCACCAGAGCCCUAAUCCCCAGAAUGCACCAGUGAUCGUGGGAACCCAUAAAACAGAAAUGCGGAAACAUCUUUAUGCCCUAUUUACCCCUAUACUAGUGCUCUGAAAGUACGUAUUAGUCACUACAGUGUACAUGUAAGUGACAGUUUUGUACCUUUUUAGUGUAGUGAGUGUAGUGAAGACAAAUUGCAAAUGAAAUCUCUGUAAUAUCUCAGUUGUUUCUGAUAUACUAAUGAGGUUCAACUAUUACUGACUAAUUUCUCAAACAUCCGAGAGAAGCUGAUUCUUCAAUAAAUGAAGAACAAAUUCUGAGCA
ensembl:lncRNA